rnacentral:misc_RNA from 1 species
CUCAGCUUGGAUUACUCUUCAAAAAAGACUUUUUUUUUUUACUCUUUUGUUGAAUGGAUUUUUUUAACAGAAAGUGGGAACUAAGUUUAUUUAUCUAAACACUUGAAUCCCCCUUUUCAGCCCUCUAAUCCAUAUAACAAAGGCUUAGAAGAUCAUAUAGCUGAACCUUAGGCUACACGGAUACAUAUAACUCAUCAUCCCGAAAAUGCAGAGAACUGAAAAGAACUCUGUCACUGCCUUCACCAGCUGUCGAUGGGGAGACUUCACAUUAUAGAAGGAAAUAGAGCUAUCUCUGAUGACACGCAUGGCUUUAGAGAUCAUCCUGAAGCAAAGCAGAGCUUUCCAUUUCCAUUGCAUCCAUCCCGUUAAAACGGCUAGCUCAUAAACAAGCAACUGAUGGAGAAGAAAACUAGGAUCACGGAAGUGUCGAACAAGCCAGGAAGUGACAGAGAUCAGACAUCUUAAUCUACUAUAGCCCAGAGAGAAACCAAUUACCAACGAAAGCAGCACCAUCGCAACCCUUGAGUUACCCACCAACUGGAAAACCCAGAAACAAGCCUAAGAAGCAAGAACCAUACACGGAUGGACAUUAAAACCCUCUCAAAGAAGCUCAAAAUCUGCAGACAAAUGAACACAAGGCAAGCCCAAGUAAAGGACUACUGCAGAUUCAUCCAUAGUAGAUCUUAAAGGACCCUUCACAAAGAAAGCACAAUAUCUUAUCUGCAACCACUAGCACACAGCACAAAACAAACUAUACGCCACCAAAUUGGAAGGAGGAGAGAGACACCCUUCCAGAUGGGAAUGGUCCACAGAUCCAAGGCUACUGACAAGAGAGAAACGAACAACUCUCAUUGAGAAGGGAGAGUCGGCUCCUACUUCUUUAAUUUUCGAAGCACUGUCCUCUGUGUUGAAUGGAUUCUAUAUUGACUUGAUGCCCUUGACAUGUGAAUACCUUAAUGCACAGUACAUUGUGUACACACAGCACGAUUUUUAUUGUUCUUCCUAGUUAUCUGCUCUAAUUUAAGGACAUAUCUAUGGCUUAUGGCAACUUAAAAAGAUAAAUAUG